rnacentral:rRNA from 1 species
UAGGGAAUUUUCCGCAAUGGGCGAAAGCCUGACGGAGCAACGCCGCGUGAGUGAGGACGGCCUUCGGGUUGUAAAACUCUGUUCUUGAGGAAGAAUUCCUUCCAGGCGAACAGCCUGGAAGGUUGACGGUACUCAAGGAGAAAGCCCCGGCUAACUACGUGCCAGCAGCCGCGGUAAUACGUAGGGGGCGAGCGUUAUCCGGAAUUAUUGGGCGUAAAGCGCGCGCAGGCGGCCGGUUAAGUCAGGUGUGAAAGGCUGCGGCUCAACCGCAGAGCGGCACCUGAAACUGGUCGGCUUGAGUGCAGGAGAGGGGAGCGGAAUUCCCGGUGUAGCGGUGGAAUGCGUAGAGAUCGGGAGGAACACCAGUGGCGAAGGCGGCUCUCUGGCCUGUAACUGACGCUGAGGCGCGAAAGCGUGGGGAGCAAACA